CUGAUUCUUGUCUGAACUCAGUAAGAAGGAGUGCUCUUUAUGUUUGAGGCGGGGUCUCUUUCUGCCCGAAAGUGAAAAUACAUCCUGAAGCUCUUAUAGCAGUAAGGAGCUUUGUCAGCAUUACUCAGAUUUCCUGCUGUAAGAAUGGUUGGGGCCACAGAUGCACCAGCAUUUUACCUCUCAUGGAACCAAACUUCAUCUGCACCCAUUUUUUUUGUAACACAAUGGAUCAGUUAUAUGUUAUAUAGCAUCUGUGCUAUUAUUGUGUUGGUGUUUUUGUUCCAUUGCUUUCAUGGAUUCUCCAAGAGAUACAGGCAAAACCGUAAAACAGGUAAAAUCACACCGGAGGUGGGUGAUGCUUUAAAUCAAGGCAGCGGACCAGAAAACAUAAAGGCAAAUACAUCAUCUUUAUCUUCAAAAGACACUGAUGUGAGUAAGAUUCUGUAAAAUUGAUCAGUUCUCUUGUGUUUAGGAUGAGCACCAGUCAUCGUCAGCAGAACAAGAAUACACCAAUGUCAGGAUGAGCUCGGUCUACCAGAGCCUGAUCCCCUCUGCUACUGAGAGACUGUCAGUCUAUGAGACUCUUGAUCAAGCGAGGACUCAAUUUGCAGACAUUAAUGAGACUUUUGAGUGAUGGUAUAAUCACUGUAAUGCACAGACUGGCAAACUUAAUAUAAAGCGUCUUUACCUACUAUUGACUUGCAUUUAAUCAUUUAAAUACAAUGCAGUUAUUGUGUUUGUACACUACAUUGUAUAUUUAAAAAAUACUCUUCUGUAAUUACAUGUGAACAUAAUUUCUGUAGUAACAUCUGUAUAUCAUACUGCUGACCCUAUAAUUAAACCCACCCUUAAACCAAACCAAACCAUCAAACUUGUCCCUAACCUUAACCGUGUGCCACCUCAACAGCAGCAAAAUUAUUUGCAAUAUAAUAUGAAUGCAAAAAGCACUUUGAACCAAAUAAUUCAUUUUAUAUAGUACAUAGUACUUAAAGACAGCUAAUAUUAAGUGGGGACUGCAUACUCAUAUGGCUCAUUGCUUCUGUAAAAUAUACAACAAAAGAUUAUCAAUCUUCAACAAAUGUAUCAUUAAUAAAUAUAGGAAUAAACUGCCAUAUAGGAUCCAAUAUAUAAUGUGUCUACCCACAUGUGUUUAAAUUAAUUUAACAUUUUACUGCUAUUUGAAUUUAACUCAUCAAAUCAAAAUUUAGAGUCAGAAUGGAUAGUUUUAUUGCUAAAAUGUGUACAUGGACAUACAGUGUUUGACUAUUGACAAUUUUAGAUGCAUUAUUUAAUGCAUUAUGUAUUAUGCAAAUAAUUCAAGUAAAUGCUAAAUUAAAGUAUUAAAUUGACAGCCUAGUUAUAAACCAUACAUUCAUUUUCCAAAAACCUGAGAAAUCUAUGCUGGCUUUAUUUUUUUAUUUGAUUAUUUUUGCUAUAUUUUACAUAAUUCAUAGUUUACUUAAUUUU